rnacentral:rRNA from 1 species
GCGUAUCCGAAAGCUGCUCAUAUCGUUCGUUAUUGGCGAACUCUGAGCCAGGUCUGCAUUAUCGUCAGCUCGUGUCGUGAGAUGUUGGGUUAAGUCCCGUAACGAGCGCAACCCUUGUCCUUAGUUGCCAGCACGUAUGGUGGGCACUCUAAGGAGACUGCCGGUGACAAACCGGAGGAAGGUGGGGAUGACGUCAAGUCAUCAUGGCCCUUACGGCCUGGGCUACACACGUGCUACAAUGGUCGGGUACAGAGGUUGCCAAGCCGCGAGGUGGAGCUAAUCCCAUAAAACCGAUCGUAGUCCGGAUCGCAGUCUGCAACUCGACUGCGUGAAGUCGGAAUCGCUAGUAAUCGCAGAUCAAAU